rnacentral:rRNA from 1 species
GAGUUGAUCUUGGCUCAGAUUGAACGCUGGCGGCAUGCCUUACACAUGCAAGUCGAACGGCAGCACGGGAGCUUGCUCCUGGUGGCGAGUGGCGAACGGGUGAGUAAUGCAUCGGAACGUAUCCUGGAGUGGGGGAUAACGUAGCGAAAGUUACGCUAAUACCGCAUAUUCUGUGAGCAGGAAAGCGGGGGACCUUCGGGCCUCGCGCUCUUGGAGCGGCCGAUGUCGGAUUAGCUAGUUGGUGAGGUAAAGGCUCACCAAGGCGACGAUCCGUAGCAGGUCUGAGAGGAUGAUCUGCCACACUGGAACUGAGACACGGUCCAGACUCCUACGGGAGGCAGCAGUGGGAAUUUGGACAAUGGGGGCAACCCUGAUCCAGCCAUGCCGCGUGAGUGAAGAAGGCCU